rnacentral:rRNA from 1 species
UACGUAGGCAGCGAGCGUUGUUCGGAGUUACUGGGCGUAAAGGGUGCGUAGGCGGUUGUUUAAGUUUGGUGUGAAAUCUCCCGGCUCAACUGGGAGGGUGCGCCGAAUACUGAAUGACUAGAGUGCGGGAGAGGAGAGUGGAAUUCCUAGUGUAGCGGUGAAAUGCGUAGAUAUCAGGAGGAACACCGGUGGUGUAGACGGCUCUCUGGACCGUAACUGACGCUGAGGCACGAAAGCGUGGGUAGCAAACAGG